rnacentral:lncRNA from 1 species
AUUAACGUGAAGACUGAUCUCUUGAUGCAGGCAGUUUUACCACCGGUAUUGUGCUUACGAAACCUCGUCACUUCAUCCUGCCUCAAUAACAUCAAACCCUGGAACACUCAAACCAAGUACACAAUCAAUCCCAUUGGGAAGAAGAAAACGGGAGGGCGCGACCAUACAGGUAGGUGUGUGUGUGUGUGUGUGUGUGUGUGAACACACAAUGAUUUUUUGUGGGCUUCCCUGGUGUUUUUUGUGGUCUGGCUGUUUUGUACAAUGGCCCACCCAUUUUUCAUUUAUUAAGCAGAUUGAUUUAGGGUACACAUCGGACUAUGCUGAGGACAUGCUGGACAGCUGUUAUCUUAAAUGGACACUAUGAACACUAAAAGAACGUCAGCUUUAAGGGGCACCAUAGUGACACAAACAUGCAUUGCUCACACUAUAGUUCUGUUAUCACUAUUUAGGAAAGUAAAAGUCUCUUCACCUUUUUCCCACACUGUGCGUGGCUCCUCUCAUCUGGCCCGCCCCCAAUCUGCCUCCUUGGCUGACAUAAUUAGAAUUGAUGAUAUUAGCCAAUCACAAUGCUUUCCCAUAGGAAAGCAUUGGAUUGGCUGAGAUCGUCCAUUCUGAUUGGUUUAGCUGCGGGGGGCAGAGCCAAACACUGCCCUGGCCAAUCAGCAUCUACUCAUAGAGAUUCAAUGCAUCUCUAUGGAGAAAGUUCAGCAUCUCCAUGCAGAGCAUCUGAGAAGUGGCCACUAGAGAUGUUCCUAGACUUUAAUGUAAACAAUGCCUUUAAAAAAGAGAAGUGUUUACAUUAAAAUGCCUGCAGGGAAAUGCUAUAGUCAACAGAACAGCUACAUUAUUAUUAUUAUUAUUAUUAUUAUGAUACUUAUAGAGCGCCGUCAAAUUCCGCAGCGCUUUACAAUGGGUGGACGAACAGACAUGUAGUUGUAACCAGACAAGUUGGACACACAGGAACAGAGGGGUUGAGGGCCCUGCUCAAUGAGCUUACAUGCUAGAGGGAGUGGGGUAAAAUGACACAAAAAGGUAAGGAUAGUAUUAGACUAGUGACAGUUGCAGAAGAGGAAUCAGUCAGGAGCUAUUAACAGUUUAAUUGAUACGCUUUUAUGAAGAAGUGGGAUUUUAAAGAUUUUUUGAAGGAGUGGAGACUGGGUGAGCAUCUAACGGAGGAGGGAAGCGAGUUCCACAGGAACGGUGCAGCCCUCGAGAAAUCUUGAAGGCGAGCAUCAGAGGUGGGAGUACGGACAGAAGAUAGACGUAAGUCUUCAGCAGAUCGUAAGGGCCUAGACGGGACAUACUUGUGUAUAAGGGAGGAUAGAUAGGUGGGAGCAGCAUUAUGUAGAGAUUUGAAAGCAAGAACCAGAAUUUUAAAUUGAGCUCUAUAUUUUAUAGGAAGCCAAUGUAGGGAUUGACAGAAGGGUGAGGCAUGGGAGGUGCGUGCGGACAGGAAGAUGAGCCUUGCCGCCGCAUUCAUUAUGGACUGUAACGGCGCUAGUUGGGAGCACGUAAGACCACUGAGAAGCGGAUUACAGUAGUCAAGGCGAGAAAGGACAGUGGAAUGGACCAACACCUUAGUCGCAUCUGGCGUUAAGUAGGGGCGGAUGCGCGCAAUGUUUUUUAGAUGGAAAUGACAGGAUUUGGCAAUAGAUUGAACAUGAGGCUUGAAGGAGAGGUCGGAGUCAAAGAGAACACCUAGGCAGCUGGCCUGCGUGGUGGAGCUGAUGGUAGCACCGUUGACUUGGAGGGAGACAGACACAGGAGUAACAACACUUGAGGAAGGAAAGACCAGAAUUUCAGUUUUGGUCAAAUUUAGUUUAAGGAAGUGAGCAGCCAUCCAGUUAGAAACAGCAGAGAGGCAGUUGUUCUGGUGACUAGAAUGUCCUUUUAACAAAGCUAAAACCAGGGGAGGUGUGACUAGGGCUGCAUAAACAGAGAUAACAUGAUUUAACUCUUACACUUCAGACAACUGAACAGUGUGCCUGCAGGUAUAUGUACACCAACACUGCUUCAUUAAGAUAAAGUUGUUUUGGUGCUUUGACUGUUCCUUUAAAAAAUAAACGCUCUGGGUAUUGGGUGGUAUAUGUUAUUCAGUCACCACUCUGGAGGCGUGAGAAAGACCCCUGAUGGGUUUUAAAUCUUGCAGGGUGUCUCUUGUGAUGACGGAGUAUCAUGCGUGAUAUCCUGCAUAGGAUUUACCGGUAUUUAUUUGUCACUUAUAAGGUUGGCUUGGGAUGACCUGCUUCUUUGUAUUUUAAAGGACCACUGUAGUGCCAGGGGGAGGAAGGGGUUAAAUUUACCUCUUUCUCCAGUGCCGGGUAGGGGACUCUCCUCCUCCUUGGCUGAAUGCGCAGCACGAGCCGUGCGCUUUCAGCCAGUCCAUAGGAAAGCAUUCUCAAUGCUUUCCGAUGGACGCUGGCGUCUUCUCACUGUGAAAAUCACAGUGAGAAGCGCCUCUAGCGGCUUUCAAUGAGACAACCACUAGAGGGUGGAUUAACCCUAUUAUAAACAUAGCAGUUUCUCUGAAACUAUGUUUAUAGAAGAAAGGGUUAAACCUAGCUGGACCUGGCACCCAGACCACUUCAUUAAGCUGAAGUGGUCUGGGUGCCUCUAGUGGUCCUUUAAUUAAAGGAAGACAAAUUAAAUAAAUACUGUUUUGUUGUUUUAAUGUAUGACACGUCUCAUCAUCUCCCAGGCCGGGUUCGUGUGCGUGGAAUUGGUGGAGGACACAAGCAGCUUUAUCGUAUGAUUGACUUUCAGAGACUGAACUAUGAGCUAGGCAAGGAGAACAUGCCAUUCCAGGAGAAGGUCAUCGAGGUCCGCUAUGAUCCCUGCAGGUGAGGGCUUGUCACUGGGUACACCUGCUAUACUAUACGUAGGUCCUCAGACACACAAUAAAACUGGAUCUUGG